CGUGGCUCAGAUUGAACGCUGGCGGCAGGCCUAACACAUGCAAGUCGAGCGGAAACGAGUUAUCUGAACCUUAGGGGGACGAUAACGGCGUCGAGCGGCGGACGGGUGAGUAAUGCCUAGGAAAUUGCCCUGAUGUGGGGGAUAACCAUUGGAAACGAUGGCUAAUACCGCAUAAUACCUUCGGGUCAAAGAGGGGGACCUUCGGGCCUCUCGCGUCAGGAUAUGCCUAGGUGGGAUUAGCUAGUUGGUGAGGUAAUGGCUCACCAAGGCGACGAUCCCUAGCUGGUCUGAGAGGAUGAUCAGCCACACUGGAACUGAGACACGGUCCAGACUCCUACGGGAGGCAGCAGUGGGGAAUAUUGCACAAUGGGCGCAAGCCUGAUGCAGCCAUGCCGCGUGUGUGAAGAAGGCCUUCGGGUUGUAAAGCACUUUCAGUCGUGAGGAAGGUAGUGUAGUUAAUAGCUGCAUUAUUUGACAUUAGCGACAGAAGAAGCACCGGCUAACUCCGUGC
rnacentral:rRNA from 1 species